rnacentral:rRNA from 1 species
UACGUAGGGGGCUAGCGUUGUCCGGAAUCAUUGGGCGUAAAACGCGUGUAGGCGGUCCGGUAAGUCCGCUGUGAAAGUCGGGGGGCUCAACCCUCGGAUGCCGGUGGAUACUGUCGGGCUUGAGUGCGGGAGAGGAGAGUGGAAUUCCUGGUGUAGCGGUGAAAUGCGUAGAUAUCAGGAGGAACACCGGUGGUGUAGACGGCUCUCUGGACCGUAACUGACGCUGAGACACGAAAAGCGUGGGUAGCAAACAGG